CUGACGGAGCAACGCCGCGUGAGUGAAGAAGGUUUUCGGAUCGUAAAACUCUGUUGUUAGGGAAGAACAAGUGCCGUUCGAAUAGGGCGGCACCUUGACGGUACCUAACCAGAAAGCCACGGCUAACUACGUGCCAGCAGCCGCGGUAAUACGUAGGUGGCAAGCGUUGUCCGGAAUUAUUGGGCGUAAAGCGCGCGCAGGUGGUUUCUUAAGUCUGAUGUGAAAGCCCACGGCUCAACCGUGGAGGGUCAUUGGAAACUGGGGAACUUGAGUGCAGAAGAGGAAAGUGGAAUUCCAAGUGUAGCGGUGAAAUGCGUAGAUAUUUGGAGGAACACCAGUGGCGAAGGCGACUUUCUGGUCUGUAACUGACACUGAGGCGCGAAAGCGUGGGGAGCAAACAGGAUUAGAUACCCUGGUAGUCCACGCCGUAAACGAUGAGUGCUAAGUGUUAGAGGGUUUCCGCCCUUUAGUGCUGCAGCUAA
rnacentral:rRNA from 1 species